rnacentral:rRNA from 1 species
UACGUAGGGUGCGAGCGUUAAUCGGAAUUACUGGGCGUAAAGCGUGCGCAGGCGGCGCCGCAAGUCAGGCGUGAAAUCCCCGAGCUUAACUUGGGAAUGGCGCUUGAAACUACGGUGCUGGAGUGUGGCAGAGGGAGGUGGAAUUCCACGUGUAGCGGUGAAAUGCGUAGAUAUCGGGAGGAACACCAGUGGCGAAGGCGACUACCUGGCCUGUUCUUGACGCUGAGGCGCGAAAGCUAGGGGAGCAAACGGG